rnacentral:rRNA from 1 species
GACGAACGCUGGCGGCGUGCCUAAUACAUGCAGGUAGAACGCUGAAGGAGGAGCUUGCUUCUCUGGAUGAGUUGCGAACGGGUGAGUAACGCGUAGGUAACCUGCCUGGUAGCGGGGGAUAACUAUUGGAAACGAUAGCUAAUACCGCAUAAGAGUAGAUGUUGCAUGACAUUUGCUUAAAAGGUGCAAUUGCAUCACUACCAGAUGGACCUGCGUUGUAUUAGCUAGUUGGUGGGGUAACGGCUCACCAAGGCGACGAUACAUAGCCGACCUGAGAGGGGGAUCGGCCACACUGGGACUGAGACACGGCCCAGACUCCUACGGGAGGCAGCAGUAGGGAAUCUUCGGCAAUGGACGGAAGUCUGACCGAGCAACGCCGCGUGAGUGAAGAAGGUUUUCGGAUCGUAAAGCUCUGUUGUAAGAGAAGAACGAGUGUGAGAGUGGAAAGUUCACACUGUGACGGUAUCUUACCAGAAAGGGACGGCUAACUACGUG